rnacentral:ncRNA from 1 species
CUCUUAUCAAGAGCGGCGGAGGGACUGGCCCGAUGAAGCCCGGCAACCGGCAGAAAUGCAAGGUGCUAAAUCCAGCAAAGCAGUGUGCUUUGGAAGAUGAGAG